rnacentral:lncRNA from 1 species
ACCACGGCACCUGAGCUUGCCAUCUUUUCCUGCUCUAUCUCACUCAUUUGUCCCGUAGCUACUAGCUAAGCCACCAUAUCAUCCAUGGCUUCUGGUGCCUCCACCACGCUGAAGAUGGCCUCUAUCGCCGCUUGCAUCCUGCUGGUCCUGCUGUCCAAUGGCCACCCUACCGCGGCGGCCGUUGAUUGUAUUGCGGCUUGCAAAGAACCGUGCCAGGGUUUUUCUAACGGGCUCUGCGCGGGUGGAGCCACCAGCGGUUGUACGACUACGGCAGCAGCUACAGCAUGCCGCAAUUUGGCGUUCUCGCAGUGUGCGAACACCUGCUUCACAGUUUGCACUGCUGUGAGCAUCGCGCCUUGCACUUGAAGAUGCAUUCGUGUUCCUACUUCCACAUUAUUGUUACUGCAGAAUAAUAUGGGUCAGUGCACACAAGCAUACAUGAUGAGCCACUGUCGUUUUUCCAUUUUGUCAUUUAUUUAUUGAAGGCAAUGUACGUUUUUCCAUUUGAUCAUUUACUUAUUGAAGGCAAUGUACGUGUCUAUCUCCUGUGUGGUUGAGCAUGUCAUCUUGGAAUUCUGUCCAAAGUUUUACAUACCACCUUGUAUUGUUGUGUGUGGGUAUCAAUAUAAUUUAUGAACUAUCUUCCUUUACCAUAGACAUAUCUAUGUUUAUUUGCAAGCGUUAGCUAAAUUUUUCCUUGAUUGUGUAUUAACCCCAACUGAACAGAUCAACUUUCCACUGCAAGAAACUAUUUAAUCUGUGACGAAACAAAAUUGUCACGUAUCACUAAAAAAUCGACAUAAAGCAAUGCCUGUGAUGAUUUCAGAUAACGUCAUGUAUUGAGCAUCACAGAUUAAAUCGAUCGACGUUUUCUUCGAAAUCGUCACAGAUCAACACAAUCUAUGAUGUUUUUUACCUGUCACAAAACACCCUUAGGCCCGUGCAGCAGCCCAGGCCUAGUGUUUGUGACGAAAAUAAACAUAACAGAUGGUUGCCACGUGGCUGGUGACGUGGUUGAUGACGUGGACGAUGACAUGGCUAGUGACGUCAUUGAUGACAUGGCCAGUGACGUCGAUGACAUGGAGAGGCUUCACCAUAGUAUUUUGUAUCGACGUUAGACCUAUCGUUUAUUUCCGCUGCUUUUGAACUCUGAACACUACUUUUAUGCAUGUGAACUAUCGGCUUGUAAUAACUUAAUGUGGGACCUGUAAUAAUUUAUCUGGAUUGUUGUAAUCUUUGGACUCGUCUUCGUGCGAGUAUACUUUGUUUCGAUCCGAAACACGUGGUUGCAUCGGGUGAAACCCGACAGACUACCAGUUUAAUUCGAUUAAAGUGUCUAUUCACAUUUAAGGCAAUGUUGAAUAUACUUUAGCCGGGUUAACUUGGAUGGUUCUACCACACUGGCGCAUCCCUGAGGAUUCCUAUCUGCUUGCUCGAUGUCAUCUGUAUCUGGCCCUGUGAUAAGGGCGAAGAGUUCAUUGUCUAGAGAGAGGCUUCCAGAACUUUGGGUGAUGACUUAUGUAGAGUCAUUGUCUUCAUGGAUAGAAGACAAAGGUGAUCCCUCCUAGUACGGAAGAACGUUGAGAUGGGCCAUGAAGCGUGAUUCGUUGUCCUGGGCGAGGGCAGGUAGCCUCAUGCCAGGCCAGUAGAUGAAUCUGCCUUGAGGGGUUGAGGUGAUCACCAGGCCCUGCUGCGAACCUGUUAGUGGAGUUUCCUCGUCGGAAUCCAAGUAGUGAUCGUAGUUGUGGUCCUUAAUCGGACAUGAGUUAGAUUGCAACCCGGAUAAGGCUGCUUGAUAGGUGGAAGCUGCGUUACAGAGUCCGAAUGGGAGUUUGCUCGGAAUUUGACUUGAUUCGGACGAUGCAGAACCCGACAGGAUAACCUACUGGGGUAUUACGUCAAUAGAUCAACCAAAAGAAUGUGCAAUAAUAUCUACCACCAAAGGCAACCCAAAAGCAUUAUCUACCUUCAGUGCCAGAUCAGUCAUCAACAAAGAUCUAUGGAGACCUUGUUUUCUCUUGCUUUGGAUUUGGAGAUAGCAUAGAACAAAAGCCUUGAACCUAAAUAAACAAAGAAAAAAAGUACUGCAGUGCUAAAAAUAAGAAAUACCUCGUAGAAAAAUACCAGUAAUGGGUUUAUGGGUUCCCACUCAUCCUUGGGUAGCCACUUCUCUAGAGAGAUUCUUGUGUGUUCCGGUGUUGUAGUUUUCUGCGCAUGAUACAUACCAACAUAAGGGCUAUUCCCCAACCUCAUAAUCGAUAGUAAUGUACAUCUUCUGGAAAGGACCUCUUUCUGUUGCAAGUGUGACUGCCACGCUCAUGCCAUUAAAGAAGUUAGCAGUUCGGUUAGGCAAUUAGUUGCCCACAGGAGGAAAGUAAAGCAACCGUGGAGAGUGAAGAGGCGUCUUUCUAGCUCCAGCACCAAGCACACCACACCAGUCAUCAGCUAAUCUGAUGACAUGGCAGGAAAUUUAAGAGGGGAGAGAAGGAAUUAGUUUCAUCUAGAUGAAAUUCUUCUCGCACAAAACCAACUCUGAAUGUGUCAUGAAAUUAAAUGUACCCCAUGCCGCUUUUUAUGCGCUCUUAUUAAUGUUGCUUUGUCUAAGUUCAAUACACUUAUCAAGACUAUCGCAUUUGGUGACUGGCAGUCCACCUAAGGGUACCAAGAUGGUUGAUUUGUAAACAGAGAGGAUCACAAGACCAUGAACUACUUGAUGGUAAUGCAAGGCACAAGACAUAGAGAUUUAUACAUGUUCGAGCCGUUAGUGUAGCGUAAUACCCUACGUCCUGUUUUGGGGGAUUGUAUUGCGCUCUGCACUUGGGUGUUGGUUGUUAAGUUGAGGGAUUGGCCGUCCUCCUAGGGGUACCCCUACGUACCCUUAUAUACUCCCCUAAUAACUCUUCUUAAUAGGAUAGAUUACCAAGUAGAAUUAAUUAUGCAUGCACGCUUGCAGUAAUUGUCGCACCUAUUAGCCUUCCUUAUUUAGCGAGACUUCCUCGGGCAUCGAUGGUGUGCCGUUUCUAUAGUGAACGGUAAUGAAUGUGGACACUUUUAUGAGUGCUGACAUGAAAGGUUCAAUUUGUAUGAAUGAUCUUCUAUAGGUACACUAACCGCGCUUAGGUUACGUUAACAAAAGGUUAGAGAAUUGACUAGUUAUUAUAGGAAGAGCCGUAAACUGUUGCCUCGCCACCAGCACUAACCCCGUAAGUCCAAGUAAUUGGCAGUUUUUUCAUUUGUGAGGACGCAUAGGUCAUGCAUGCAUCAUGUUAAAAACUUGCAAAUUAGAAAUUGGAACAACUUUCCUAUAGAUGAUUGGGAGGACUAAUGUCACUCUCAAAAAAAAUUUUGCCAAAUCACCUAAGGAUUUUCUAGUUGUCUCGAACUGCAGCUAACUACUGUCAGAAAUUUUUUUCUCCGAGCUCUUAAAUGGUCUUGGUUCCAGAAUUUAGUAAAUGAUAUGCUGUAAAAGUUUCAUAAAUUUUGGUCAAGUGAAACUCGAGUUAUGCUUCAAUAAAUUCCCGGGUUGACUCGUACCCAAAGGAGGAAGUUGCAGAGGUUAAGGCUGCAGGAGAAGAGGGAACAGAAGCUGGAGAAGCGAAGGAAUGAGGCAUUCAACACGAAUAGACCCAUAGUCCCUCAGAAGAAGGAGUGGAGAGUUAAGGCCGAUACCCCCAACUCCACCAGUCAGACCGGCAGAAGGACCGGUCGGACCUAGUGCGGUCGGCACGGUCGGGGCGGUCACUGGCACAGUCGGCGUGGUUGAUGAUUCGGUCGGCGCGGUUGUCGGCGCAGUCAGACCGGUUGGGGGGUCAGCGAGGAGCGACGGCGGGGCAACAAAGUAACCGUGAGCGUGGCGGGGCGGAGCUUGAGCGGCGGAGGCGGAUGGGAGGGGUGGAGGCGGCGGUGGAUGUGGAGGGGAGGUAGCGGAGGGGGAGGAGGAUGAGGAGGCAGAGGAGGUCGGCGGUGGGCGGAGGAGGUGGAGGAGGGUGAGGAGGAGGAGGAGGCGGAGGGAGGUCAGGGCUGGCGGGGGGAUUUUCUUUUUUUAAGAACGUUCAGCUUUAUUAUCACCUAGCGGAGGCAGAUGGAGUUCCACAACAUGGUGUAUCGGAUGGGCAUUUCAUUGAAGUCCCUAGGGGCGUCCAAUGGGCGGCUGUAGUGGGUGUACAUCAGGACGAGCGUCUGUAGCCAUUGCGACAGCCUAGAGCACGACAACGAGGCAGAAGACCCCAUCACGGGUGCAGAUGGCCAGCGUUUUUUUAAAAAAAACUUACAGGUGGCCAGUGUGGUGGGCGUGAUUGGGCUUAUCACCAGUGGCGGAGGAGGCGGACGCACGAAGUGACGGGAAUGGCGCCGAGUUUGGUCGAACCAUCUGGAAACCAGAGUUGCAACGCUUGCACUGGACGGCUGAGAUUUACGAUGCUCGAUAUCUGACGGGCGAAAAAGGGAGAGACUUGGCCCAAUCACUGCAGAGAAACUUCACCGGAUUUAGGUCUUUAAAGAAGAUUGUAAGGCCUGAUUGGUUGGGGGAUCAAAAUGUAUCAAACCAAAAUCAGGGUAAGCCUAAUAAUUUUGGCAGCUGUGUAUAUUUAGAUGCAUAUAAACAUUUAUAAACCUAAAAAAUUAAAACGACCUGCAAUUAAAACUCGAGGGGUAAAAAAGAAGGCCCUGACAAACGCGUCAGCACAUUCCUGCCUUUCUCCCCCGAAUGAGUAAACUCCAAUCCAAAAUUUGACUGUAUUUUGUUAACGGUUAUAUUUCAUAAGUUUCAUAACAAUAACCAGCUAGGGCUAAUGAUGAAAUGAAAUUGGCCACAAUUUUUGUUCUUGGGAGGUAUCUGUGAGGUGAGAAAAUGGGCAACAUGUGUGGAAAAUGCUAAUACGCCUACCGUGUGGCAUAUUUUGCGUUGUAUCAUAUACUUUCCGGAACAGUUGUAAUUGCCACAUCUUUUUUUCCCAGCAGAGUUGCCAAAAUGUGUUGGCGCCUUUUCCGACCAACACAUGAGUGCGCUAGCUUGCGUGUAGAUUGGAAAUCUCCUCGUUGAAGCUCCUGCACCUGGCCGGUCAGAUCGGUCAGGGGGUCCGAUCGGGCCGGUCGUCGUAGGGGCACCGUGAAAACCUACGUCCACCACCUCGGGAGGGACCCUAUCGGAGAUGGCGAACCUAGGGUUGCUCUGAGAUCGGCAGGCCACUUUAAACGUUCUCAAACACCGCCGGGACAAAAGAGGAAAGCAAGUGGGUUGGAAAAGCUAAGGUUUUGAGAUAAAAGGGUAAAAAGAUAUGUUUGACGAUUGGGUGAUACCCCUCAAUCCAACUUACCAAUACUGAUACAAGAUAUGCUCAACUUGUGAACUUAACUGAGGUAUAUGCUUUCUAUGUUCGUCCAUUCCAGCAAUUGUCUAAGGCAACGCGAAAUCCAGUUACUGUGGGCUAAUAACAACCUAUCUGUUGGUGUUUCUUGGUGUCUAUGGGUGUGCUUCUGAUUUGCAUGCUUUUUUUGUUUGUUGUGUGAUGAAAUAAGGCACUAUGUACAUCUUUGCUUAUUAUUUCCCACUGAUAUAUGGGUACGGACGUGUAAUCAUUAAUUGUGCUAUUCAUUCAGCUGACGACAGUCAGUUGACAUCACUUGAAAGUAUGCUUGAAUUCGUAAGGUGUCCCGUGCAAGUAGCGUGGCUACAACCGCGGCAAUAUUUUUUUCUGAUCAAAAUCGAUCGUCCUUUUUUGUUGAAAACAUAAGUAUGAUAUACUUCACGUGAUGUUAGACUUGAAAAUUUUUGAGUGCAAUAUAUGAGUAAGUAUUCAAUACUAACAUUUUUUCUCUAAACAUUAACUACCAACAUAGCUUAUCAGAUAAUGCAGCAUUGUUUAUCCGACAUGCAUAACCACCUAACACUCAGACACUGAGACACACCAUCCAUUACCGUCACUGAAUCUAUGUCAGCGUGCUGAGCCAGGGUUAGGAACCUCCACUAACUCGUUAGAGGCAAACCCAAGAUCUAGACUGCUUCUGCUUAAUUCCAUCACUAGCUUAAUCCACUAUGAAAUGUAAAUGCACAACACUCUUAGCAAUUCGCUCAUAAGAUUCUUGAAUUUGGCAAAUUUUUGGUGCAAUCUUCACUGCGAGAAAAACGACCUUUUGUCCAACAUAUUAGUACCGGCCACAUUUCAACCCGUACUAAUACCAACAUUAGUAUCGGAUCCAAUUUAGUAGCCACCGGAGACCUUUUAGUACCAGGUCAUAACACCACCCAAUACUAAAAUGUUGAAGAUAGGUUGCCAAUGGUGAGGUGGAGCGUGGGGUCGAUGACGGUAAUAGCGGCGGGGAACUUCAACCCCCAGCCGAAGGGGCCAUGGCAGGUGGCAGGGAGAGGUUGAGGCUGUAGAGGAGAGGGUGUUUGAGCUUUGGGGGUGGCGAUUUGGAUUUGUUGAAGGAUAGCGGUGGGAUUUGCUGCUCAUUGUGGUUCAGGUGGAGGAACAAAGUAGAAAGAAAGAGACGAAAAUGUGGCCAACACUUUCAAGGAAAAGCAUGAGGUGAGAUGGAGGAAUGCAUGAGUGAGGGUGUGGAUAGGCAACCCUUGAAAUGGAUUUCCAAGGACGGAUCACGGGAUGAACCAUCCCUGGAAAUGGGGCUAUUUUUAGGAGCGGAGGGAAACAUGGCCUGCAUCUAUAAAUAAGUAUUUUUAGGGGUAGGUCUUGUUUCUGUUCGUUCUAGGAAAUGUAUAUUUCUAGGGGUACCCCACCCCAUAAUUGUAACACCUGCUUUUAAAACAAAACCAAGUGUUACCUAUAUGUAUGCCAGGAUCUAGUUUCAUAUAUAUAGUGAUAUCAUCAGUGAAUAAUAGUAACAAUAUCACGUAAAAAAAUAUAAAUAAUGACUUACGAGUGUAUCAGAGAUAUACAACUUAAUCAUGGAAAUCAAGGCUCCAAACUUCACAAGCAAUCGACUGUGGGUUGCGUAUGUCUAGAACUCAGCAUCAUCUUGAGAAAACAUCACACACCUUCUUCUGAGCAGCAGUAAGUAAGGGUGAGUACACUUAUGGUUGGUACUCAGCAAAACCAUAUUGUGCCAAUCAGGCACUCAUCACACUACCGAGGUGUGACUACAUAGGGACACUACGAGACCUUUACAAAGAUUCCCUAAUAAGUGGUAACCUGCUAAGGUUUCAUGUCGAAGUAGAGCAUAAACCUCUCUCAAGAUUGCGAAGCUAACAUAGAGCAGAUCAGACUGAGGGACGGGUUAUACCUCAUCAACGCCUCCCCUCUUGUCCUUUCGGUAAGAUUACCUCAAGCUGGAGUCUCUAAUUAAUUAGCCAAGACCAGAGCCAUAUAGUCCUUGUAGUUGCACUAUUUUCCUGGGUGGUUCUUCAUGUUCCAAUUAAUGCAUGGUAUUCUUGUAAAAUAAGAAUAGAUAGAAGGAUGGUUAAGGACACCUACCUUUAUCCAACGAAAAGUUACUCUUACUGCUCUUUAGCUCUUGCUCUCUUGAAACUCUUAAUCUUCAAAUCUUUUGAACAACUAUCCUUCUAUUUGAAGAAAUCAUCGGCACAAACAUAUAAGCAAACAAAAAAAGUACAAUUAAGAACAAUACACCAAAACAAAAAAAAGCUUGAAAAGAGUAUAAAGGAUAUGGCUCAAUUCUAAGAUCGCGAGGAUGUAAGAAACGCUUAAAACCAAACUAAGGUUGAAAAGACAAAGCUAUUGAGAGAUUUGAAUUAUAAAAGAAAAAGAAAAGCCUACGUGCUUCAUAUAUUUUAAUAAAGAAAACAAUGUAAAGAUAUUUUAGAGAAAAAUCCUUAUCAAGUUAUAUUUAUAUAUGAAAAGAUCAAGGUAGAACUUCAUCAAAUUUUUAUUUAUAAACAUUAAAGUACAAUUUAGGCAAAUUAAACAUUUAAUUUGAAAAUAAAGUAAGAGCCGCAAGACUCAAGGAACAAGCUAAACCAUUCAGUGGAUCUUCGGGGGUCUAGAUGCAAAAAGCUCAGAGCUUUCUUCCUCAUGGCCGACGGUAGCUUGUACAGCCAAAUCACUGGCGCUACGGCGGCUGGGGUCUCCAGCGGACGGCACAGGAGGUGGAGGAGGUCCAGGGGAUCUAGUGGAGGCUCUUACCGGUGGGGGAGGUGAAGGGGGGCGGCCGAAAUUCGGAGGCGACAAUGACCGCAGCGGUGGCUCGAGCUCCGCGCGGUGGCAACGCUCCGGUGAUGGAGGGGCGUCGAGGGCUGGCGUCAGUUCUUCAUCUUGGAAGGAAAAUAAUUUCCCGUGGAAGGAAAAUCCAGAUAAAUCAAGAUAAUUCAAUAAAAGCUACAAAAAAUACUCUAAAAAUUCCCAAAAAUUUUAGGAAAAAUCCUAGUCGUAGAUUGGGACAUGAGGAAUCCAAAUAAAAUACUUGGAGCCCAUGAAAAAGGAAUUAGAGCCUUCUACUAAAUAGAUUUAUUUCUAGGAAAAUGAGAAUAAAUACCAGAAAGAUCUGGAAAAUUCUCAGGAGAAUUUGGUCGUCGUCUAAAUGCAUUUUUGAAACUUUUUCACUCAUGAAAUACUAUAAUGCAUCGGCAGGAAUGCAAAACACGUAGAAACAUUUUAUUUCUUUCAAAAUCAAUGAAUUGUUUUUCCUAUACUACAUUUCCUGUCAAAAAAAUAAAUGUUGAAAUUUUUUUAAAAUUAUGAGAAAAUCAUUGUUUAAUUAUUAUUUUUAUUUAAUCACAUCCUAAAAUCUAAAAAUUUCAGGGUGUGAAUAAUCCACCCCUAUAAAUCCAUUUUUAGAGGUGGAUGAAUUGCUACAGUAACACCUAUUUUUGGUUGGGGGGCUUCUCAUCCAGCCAAAAAAAUCAAGUGGCACCUAAAAAUCAUUUUUUAGUAGUGAUCGUACACGCGCUUCACUGCCAUGAACGCCGCCAUGCAUACCGCUCAACCAGCCGCCGGCGCCAUAGAUGGUGGCAUUCCGGUUCUUUCCCCAGUGUGGCAGGCCGCCGUACUUGCCCAUUGCCAUCUGCAUCUUGAUCUCGUCCACGACCUCCAAGUUUUGCACUGCACUAUGGACAAAAUAGUGCCCAUUAUCGUGCAGGGUUUUCCAUGUGAAUUGGCCCAAGGUACAUUCAACUUAUUUUGGCUGGCUUGGUCCCACAGUUUGAACCCAGAUUUUGGAUCUUUCCGCAUUUAAAUUGGUGCUGCUGCUGCAUUUAUUUGAUAAUGGUGCAAGAUAUGGAACCAUACAACAAAGGUAACUCAUCAUUAAUUUAGAAGGGUGCACAGAUUCAUGUAAUAAAUAAUCUACACCACCUAAGAUGUGUCUCUACCUCUAUAUAAACAAGAGCAAUCAAAGCAAUAUGUGCAUACUGGAACAAAAUAUCUACAGGCAUACCAAUAGUGUUCCUUUUCAUAUGGCAGUGAUCAAGAGCAGCGCAGUGAGGUCCAUGUGUGCUGCACUUUGCAUUCUUUUGAUAAUGUCUUCAGCCCUCUCAGAGCUGGUGGAAGUUGUGUAUCUAACUGCUUUUCUACUUCCCAUGGUUUCAUUAUAUUCGUGGGGUUUACUAGGUGCGAUGUGGAUUUCAUGCACAUGAUCACGCUGAGUGUGACCCUAUGGACUGAUGCACUGAUCCGAAAUGCGAGGAUGAAUGUCAGAACAAAAAUAUUGACCUACCUAUUGAACCUGAGUGCACCACACCUAAGGAGUGUUGCUGCACAUUUUAUCGGGAGGAAGAUAAUUCACUUCUUUGAAUAGAUUAAAAUGGUUGCCGAUGGCUAGAUUAAUUUCAUGGAUGCAGCCGAUACCAGAAUACUACGCUUGCAUGUAAUGCAUCCAUAAUAUGUUUCUACCCAAAUCUAAUAAAAUAAAUGUGUCCCAUUUGUCCUCUUUUCCUCUAGUGUUUUUUUUACUCCCAAAUUCCAUGCUAAUAAAUGCUGCAUACAUGAUUUUAUUUUAAAAACAUUUCUGAAUACAUUUAAUUUGAUAAGUUCAAACACCGAGUGAGUCUUCUAUCUAUUGUAGGCUUAUGUUUAGUGAAGUGUGCCGGGCCUACUACUUCGGUGUUGGGCUGAGCCCACAUGAGAGCAGCUCCAGCGUUGCUCUUUUGAGGGUGCUCCAAGGAGAGAGAAAAAUAUUCUCCGGCAGCUUCACGCUGGAUCAGAGGGUGCUAGGGAGGUGCUAGGGAGCAGCUGAUGAUGAGUUUUGCACCAGGCGCUACGCAUUCAAUAUAUUUUCUGAAGUAACGUGGUUGGAUGGAUAGUUGAGAUAGUGGGAAGAAAAGCUAGAUCAAUGAUUCUUUAUUCAGCUGGAUCAAUGAUUUCUGAGAUGAGGUACUCAGCAGAUUGAACCGCCACAAGUGCCCUUCUCUUCUUAUCAGCCCGGUGUGCCUUGGUAUUGUCUUCCUGAAUAAUGGCCUUAUUAACCAGAUUACUAGAGCUGUCGUAGUAACAACCAAACGAACUGCAGCUUAGUACCGAGGCCCCUUCUCAAGCAAGCCUACUUUUUAGCAUGACAGCUGGCGUACCGAGCAAGUUGAUUAACACUAUUAGCAUAUUGGAACACAGUUUGAUUUCUUUGUUUAAGUGACAUGACCUCUGACGGUUUUCUUUAGGCUGUGGAAAACGGCUCGUACCAACUCUGCCCGUUGAGAUGACCACACCCUGUUUCCAUUACCCCGUUAGGAAUGGAAACACAAACCAUUAUCUUGUACCCUAUCAUAACUCUGAAGUCUUCUUGGAAUAAUUUUCCGAUAAGGGAAGUUUUAUUGAUUUAAUAAAUGUUACAUCACGGUGAUAUAAUAAACUUGAAAUCCUCCCAGCAUGUGCAAGCACAGAGCCCUACAGGCAGAAACAAAUGCAGAUGCGCUAAUGACCAUCAAUCCGAGGACUCCGCCACCCAUGCACUUAGGUAAAAAAAUUCCUCGACCACUUUCACCAAGCACUGAGAUGAGAUGCCGCUGCAACGGAAACAUAUGCCGUAGACUUUUGGAGCAUAGCCCAUGUACGAAGCUAGUGGAUAACUCUAAAGAUAACCUGCAUUGGAUGAGAUAAGGGUUUGUUUUCAAAUACCAUAGCAUUCUUGCAGAGCAACAAUAACAACAUAGUAGCAAUCACCCCAAGUAAAUAAUGCCCGUCAACCAAGUGCCGAAAAUAUUUUCUAGGCUAAGGGGCUUGAGAAAGACUUCAGUUGCAAACAUAUCCGUAUUAUCCUCACUGAAUGGUCAUAAGUGUUUCCCUUCCGUUGCCGACACAAGACCAUCCGACGGCGAAGGGUGACUAACGCCACUAGCUGGUAAACUAAGUAUGCUGGAAUUUGUCCACUAAGGUUAGAGUCUAGCUAACUCAGCAUAGGUGCCCAUAUUUCUUAAUUAUGUUUCCGUUGGUUGAUAACAUACCCAUCGGCAUCCUAUCGUCAUGACUUAAUGAAUCCCAAUAUCUUCUAGACUAACGUUUACUUACAUGAGUAGGGUGUGUAUGCAUGUGUGGUUAACAGGUAUUUACUUUAAGGUCGGCUGGGCCGGCUUUCUGGAUGUGUCUAAUUAUGCUUAAGAAAAAGAACCACUAGUGGAAAACUGAGUUUUAGUCCCAUAUGCAGACACGCAUAGAUCUCAAAAAUCCAACCGGAACUAAUCAUUCGGACUGUAAUAAUAAAAUUUGUUUGAAAUUAAAUACAUUGCAUUUAAAUUUUCAUGGGCAUUUAAACCUUUUUCAAAAUAAAUUAAUGAAUCAUAGGAGUUCGUUGUUGCAUUCACGAUGGUGCAUUAUUUUUGGUUGCUUGAAUUCAAAUUUGUGUUUGAAUUCAUCUGUUUGACUCUUUUAAACAAAUAGGAAACCCCUUUUCUUUUCCCUCCCUUUUCUUUUCUUCCUUUCAGCCUGUUUCUUUCUUUGGGCCCACUUCCUUCUCUUUCGCCCAGCAGCAAAACUGAAUAUGCACUUUGAAGAUAAACAUGCGAACCAUCAAAGGGCAGCAGACAACUUACAUACACGAAGGAGCGUUGUAAAUGGCAGAGUAGCCUUGCUGCCAUGAUCCACUGAGAUCCAGCCCCACGUCGCACGAAUUCCUCCCUCCCCCCUCCACCCCCGACAACGGCUUCAGGCUCGGACCCGCUAUGACGACCAAGGACAAAUGCGCUCAAGGCUUGGGAAGAAAUUAACUUCCAUUGUCGGAACACUUGUUAAGGAUUACAAGAGACCAUAUCGCAAGUUUAUCUUCUUAGGUAUGGUCCACAAUGGAAGAGAGAUCUCCUAACUUGACCAAGCGGAUGUACACACUAUCAUUUGGCACGAAUCAGGCCAAGUCAGAUAGGUGCUAGUGGAGUUCCAUAUUCCACUACGUCCGGCAUGUAACUCAUAAUCGACCACUGGGGAGGGACAUGUGUGGGAUGGAUCGAAGACAAGACAAUGGCCAACACACGCGUGGACAUACCGGCCACAGGGUACCAUUACGUGUUUGUUGGACCCAACACAUGAAAAUAGCUGCGUUGGCCAUGAAAAUGUUUCCUAUACGUCAUGGGAGCGCGUAAACGGCCACACUGGCCACCGGAGACGAAAACAUGGGCGAUGGACCGAAGAAGGGAAGAUGGCCUCCGGACAUGUGUUCGGCCAUGAAAACGUUUCCUAUAGGUCACAGGAGCGCGAAAAUGGCCUCACCGGCCACCGGGGACGAAAACGUGGGAGAUGGACCGAAUACAUGAAAAUGCCUAACGAAUGUGUGUUCAGCCAUGAAAACGUGUGUUCUAGGUCACGGGAGCCUGAAAACGGCCUCACCAGCUAUCAAGGACGAAAACGUGGGGGAUGGACUGAUUGCAUGAAAAUGCCUAACGAACACGUGUUCGUCCAUGAAAACAUGUGUUAUAGGUCACGGGAGCCUGAAAAUGGCCUCACCGGCUAUCGGGGACAAAAACAUGGGGGAUGGACCGAAUACAUGAAAAUGCCUAACGAACGUGUGUUCGGUCAUGAAAAGGUGUGUUAUAGGUCACGGGAGCUUGAAAAAUAGCCUCACCGGCCUCCGGGUAUGAAAACGUGGGUGAUGGACCGAAUAUGUGAAAAUGCCUAACAAAAGCAUGUUCGGCCAUGAAAAUGCCCAACGAACAUGAGUUUGGCCAUGAACGGGUGAAAACGGCUCAAGAACGGGUGACAACGGACUCCAAAGGGGCUGGGAUGGAGUUUCCGUGUUGGCACCGAGCCCCCUACGUGCCCCCCUGUCAUCUCGGCCUAUCACACAGAUUUCAGGUGACCCCUAGAACUGUGCACCCUGUGGGACAAAAUUCCCCGGAACUUCUGGGUGGGGGGGAUGCCGCACAGGUAUAGUAGGGGGAGCUGGUGCGUCCUCUGGGUGCUUGAGAAAACGAUGUUCAGCCGUAUGAAUAACGUUGGUUUUGACAUGUUUUCGAGGUAUUCGGGGCGUACUCCCCCGGCCGCGGUGCGGCCGGACCGUGGCCGCACCGCAGCUCAUGUGGGAAGGCUUGGGGGCUGGCUACGGCUGGUCACAGUAGGCUGCGGCCGACUGUUGCUGGGCUGCGGGCGCCUGGAAUGUGCUUGCGCUUGCCGUUGGCUGGCCGUGGCCGCCCCAGGCGUGCUGCGGCCGGUCGUUAGCUUACCUUUUGCUGCUCGGGGCAUUCAGUUGCUGGCCGUUGGCAGGCUAAUGCCGUCCCAGGCGGGCUGCGGCCGGCCAUGAUGGAAGGGAUGAGGUUGUGUUUGUUAUAUGCACCGAAAUUGUUCAUUCUCAUGCUCUAUGGACCUUCGACCGUCGUCCUCACAAGUAGACUUGCCAUGCCUAGCGUGGUAGGAUGCUUAGGAUGGCUUGACCGUCGCGCUACACUAAUAUUGGACCUGUGACUGCUUGGAGGCCCUCCGCCCUAGUGUGGCCGACUCUUGGUGCCAGUUCCCUUCAGUUGUGUGGGCAUCAUGCUCGCGCCUCUGGCGAGUGCUUGCAUGCUGCUACCCGUUCUACGGGAAGUUGCAUUCGCUACGGGUUGCCUUCGUUGUGCCCACCCCCUGGGUGUGGCACUUUGGUUAUAGAGCACUUGCGGCGUCACCUCGUGGUACCUGCUACACCGGUCGGCACCACCAAGGUCAUCUCGCUUGUGCUCUUUGUCUCGGAUGGAGCUAUCGAUAUAGGGCGAGGCUGCUUCGGCACCUUGUUCCUUGCAAAUUCGGUACCUUCGGAAAAACGAAACCAACCCAGCCAACACCUCGUGCCGAAGCUAGCGACAGCUUGUCGAGGAGGACGUGCUAACCUGGUUGAUCCUGCCAGUAGUCAUAUGCUUGUCUCAAAGAUUAAGCCAUGCAUGUGCAAGUAUGAACUAACUCGAACUGUGAAACUGUCGUUUAAUGAUGUUUAAAAGUUGCAAGGGCCCCUCUGUAAAAACGUGUUCAAUCUUUUCUGAUUUAAAAUGAAUUAAAUGGCUGAAACUUUGUAAACGUGUAGAAAAUUGUAGAAAAAUGGUAAAAAUGUGAAAGAUGUCAUGCCCCUGCAAAAAGAACAAGUAGCUCAAUGGUUUGUGCGAUAAAUCCUAUCCUUGAGGUGCUCGUUUACCAAUUUGCACCGAAACAUUAUCUUAGCUCCCACAUGAUAUUAUCUAAAGGCAAAGAAGGUGACAUUGAACAUGAUACACCACGAGAUUUUACUGGAGAAUACAUUGAGAGGUACAGGAUAGGGUUUGUGUGGAAUGUGAUCGGUGCUUAUAAAUAUGACAUAGCAUCAGUACAUCACAACUGGUUGUAGACUGCAACCGACAAUUUUCUUAGACCCUUUGCAUUUUGUAAUAGUUAUAUUCCCUUUACUAAAGUUCUUAUUACAACCAGGUUUCAUAGUACCUAGUGGCAUCAAAACCAUUUAGCGCCACUAACUGGUUGUGAUGAUUGAUGUCACAAACGGUUCUUUGUGCGUAGCCAGUUUAUAGCUGUAAUUCAAUUGAACCUGUUCUAGUACCUUGAACAACUAGUUCUUGAUGAGUAGCCAGGAGUGACGUUCCAUUUGUAACUAUUUAUUCUCUAUUAGUCUAAUGUUGUGAUAAAUGAUUUGCGUUGUCAGUUUAUGCACUUUGGCAGCCUGGAUGUAUGUCUUUUGAAGUAUGUGUAACUUUCUCUAGAAUUGAGGAACUUUAAUUGACUAAGUGGUCUUGGAUUUACAGCAUCAACCACUAUAAUUAGCCAUUGCUCCAAUGGCCCAUUUUUUCCGUUAAUGCUAUAUGAUCCGACACCAAUAUGUGUACAAACAUAAGAGCAUCUGACGAGUAUCAUUUUACGGUGAAGACAUUGGAUCCCCACUCGCAGUAACACAUUUCAAAUGUGGAAAGCAGGACCGGGUCUCCCCCCUGCAAUAAAUGCCAUUUUAACUGGUCCUAUAAACUGUUUUCUAGUGGUGUGAUGUAGUCUGUUGGAAUCAGCACCGUGGAACCAUCUGACAUUCAUACAUUAGCUUCACCAAGCAAAUAUUCUUCUGUGCAUUAAAGCUUCAUACUUCAACAUGUACAAGUUCUCUAUGUAGGAUAUUUCAGCUAGAAGAUCUUCCCUUUCUUGAACUAGCCAUUUGAGCAUUAUUCAUUCUCAGGCCCAUUGUUCCAACGGCUUGCACGUUCUUGGAAUGUGUUAUCAUGGAAUGCUAGGGGUAUCGAUUCGUAGACAAGAUGGAAUGUCGUCAAGAGCAAAAUAUCUGAAUCCAACUGUGAUAUUGCCUGUUUACAAGACACCAAAAGGGAGUUUUUUGAUGCUAGAUAUAUUAGGAAUUUCUAUCCCCCACAGUUAGAUUCUUUCGAUUUCAUCCCAUCUAUUGGCAACUCAGGGAGAACUAUUAUAGUGUGGAAUGGUUCCAAAUUCAAGGGGGAACGUAUCUUUCAAAAUCUUUAUGCCCACUUUGUAGAUUUUCAGUGCAAGCUAUCAGGGGAACAUUGGAUCCUCACGAAUAUCUACGCCCCAUGUACUCCGGAGGGGAAGCUAUCCUUUAUUGACUGGUUCAAAAGGGUUGAAAUACCAGAGGAAAAAAAUUGGCUAAUAGUUGGGGACUUCAACCUUCUUAGGAAGCCGGAUGACAGAAACAAUCCAGGGGAAACAAUCCGGGAGGAAAUGUUCAGGAAAUGCUUCUCUUCAAUGAAGCUAUUAGCAGGCUUAGGCUCACAGAAAUUCAGCUCAAAGGAUGCAAGUACACUUGGUCCAACAAACAACAGAAUCCUCUUCUGGAGAGGCACGAUUGGUUCUUCAUAUCUAACCCUUGGACCAUCUCCUAUCCCAAUACUUAUGCCUCAUCGCUGUCCAGUGACUCCUCAUAUCAUGUUCCUUGUGUAGUCUCGAUCUCUAAUACCAUUCCAAGGCCACAAGUUUUUAGAUUUGAGAAUUAUUGGCUAGAACAUGAUCGGUUCCCAACCAUUCUCCAACAAGGUUGGGCAACUCCACUUCUAGGCACAGAUAGGGCAAAGAACAUUGGGGCCAAGUUCAAAAACCUGAGGAAGGUUUUCAGGAUCUAGAAAGCAUAGCUCCCCAGUCUGGCGAAAGCAAUCCAGAGCACCAAAGACACCAUUAAACUCCUUGACAUCAUCGAAGAACUUAGAGAUCUUACCCUGCAAGAAUGGAACUUUAGAGAAGUCAUCACAUCACAUCUGAAUAGCUUGCUCCACCAACAAAAAGUCUAUUGGCAGCAAAGAAGCUCCAUCAAUUGGGCCAAAAUGGGGGAUGAAUGUACAAAAUUCUGCCAUGCAAGGGCCUCAGUCAGAAAUAGAAUCAAUUAUAUCACUUCUUUAGUUGAUGCCAAUGGACAAAUUGUCUCUAAACAUGAAGCUAAAGCCAGGAUUCUUUGGGAAGCUUAUAAGGAAAGGAUGGGGAGAUUUGAAUUUACUCACAUGUACUUUGAUCUUUCUACUAUCUUGACAUCAGAUCCAAAUUUGGAAUGGCUAGAAUCUCCCUUUAUGAAAGCAGAGAUCGACACAAUUACAGGGGAACUUCCAAGUAACAAGUCCCAAGGCCUAGAUGGCUUGAAUGGAGAGUUUCUCAAGAGAUGUUGGGACUUGAUAGCUGAAGAUUUUUAUAGACUGUCUGAAGGUUUUCAUGACAUUAGUGUGUGUGUUCAGAGCAUGAAUGCUUCAUACAUCACACUAAUCCCCAAGAAAGAUUGUCCCUCUCAAGUGGGAGACUUCAGGCCAAUCUCCCUCCUAAACUCAACCAUCAAGCUAAUAACUAAAAUUCUAGCAGAAAGGCUACAACAGGUUAUGUUAAGACUAGUGCAUAAAAAACAGUAUGGUUUCAUAAAGUUUAGAUCCAUACAAGACUGUUUAGCAUGGGCUUUUGAAUAUCUUCACAUCUGUAAAGCCUCAAAGAGAGAAUUAAUCAUCAGCAAGCUAGACUUUGAAAAAGCCUUUGAUAGGAUUGAGCACCAAGCCAUUUUGGAUAUCUUAAAACAUAAGGGCUUUGGGGACAAAUGGAUUGGGUGGAUAAAGGACAUUCUCAACACUAGAACAUCUUCAGUACUCCUCAAUGGUGUACCAGGGAAAGUCUUUCAUUGCAGAAGAGGUGUCAGACAGGGGGAUCCUCUAUCCCCACUUCUAUUUGUGCUAGCAGCGGACCUUUUUCAGUCAAUCCUAAAUAAAGCCAAAGAGGAAGGAAGCUUACACCUACCGAUCCCUGAAAGAGCUGGACCUGACUUCCCAGUUAUACAAUAUGCAGAUGACACCCUUCUGGUCAUGGAAGCAGAUCCUUGCCUGUUGUUGCAUCUCAAGCAUCUGCUUAAUCAGUUUGCGGAGUCAACUGGUCUUAAAGUAAACUACAACAAGACUGUUAUGGUACCUCUGAACACUUCUGAGGAUAAACUCCGACAACUUUCGUCAAUGUUCGAUUGCCAUGUCGGAAGCUUGCCACUCACCUACUUGGGGCUACCACUUGGUGCAACAAAGCCUAACAUUGAGGAAUUCCUUCCAUUAAUACAGAAGGUGGAGCGAAGAUUGGGAGGCAUCUCUAACAUGUUAUCUCAAGGGGGCAAACUCGAACAGGUAAAUUCAGUCUUUUCUUCCUCACCAAUGUUUCAUAUGGCAACCUUAAAGCUUCUCAAGGGGGUUAUCACACAAUUAGAUAAAUAUAGGAAACACUAUCUCCGCAGAGGAUCUAAUUUGAAUUCUAGGAAACCCUCCAAGGCAGCUUGGCCUAUGGUGUGCCUACCAAAACAGCAAGGAGGACUUGGGGUUAUUAACCUGAACAGUCAAAAUGAUGCCCUUCUUCUCAUGUUCCUACACAAGUUCUUCACUAGAGCUGAUACUCCCUGGGUUCAUUUAUUCUAGGAUAACUAUUAUUCUAAUGGGAAACUGCCUGGACAGCACAAAAAGGGCUCAUUCUGGUGGAGAGAUUUAGUCAAGCUACUGGACAAAUACGAAGGAAUAGUGUCGGCAUGGGUAUCGGAUGGCUCUACUGUAUUGUUCUGCAUGGACACAUGGAUUGAGCAGGUCCUCUACCUGGAAUUCCCCCAGUUAUUCUCUUAUGACAAAAACAAACUGGUAUCAUAUAAGGAGGCUACAAGCAGAAUAUCACUGUCUCAAAAUUUUCACCUGCCACUUUCAGAAGAAGCUCAUCAGCAGUUGCUGAUUCUGCAGAAUAGAUUGAGGAAUACUGUGAGAGCUCAAGGCAGAGAUAAGUGGACUUACAUUUGGGGAAGGCCCCCGCUUUUCGGUAGCAAAAACUUAUAAAGUCAUAACGGGCACAAGAACCAUACAUCCAAUUCAUAGAUGGAUAUGGAAAUCUAAAUGCCAAAAGAAGCACAAGAUAUUUUUCUAGCUAUUAAUUAAAUUCAGACUGAGCACCAAAGACAUUCUAAGCAGAAAAACAAUGUAUUUGGAUACUUAUACUUGUGUGCUUUGCAUCCUCCAGGAAAAGGAGACAAUGCCGCACUUAUUCCUGAGAUGCAACUUCUCGAAAGCUUGUUGGAGCACUUCCUCCAGGCCACCCUUUCGGAUUUUUAACUCAAUCAAGGAUAAACUGAACGUUCCCUUCUACAUGGAGAUCAUCAUUUUAAUGGCCCGGAGCAUUUGGUCCGUGAGGAAUGACUGGACCUUUCAACAAUGUCCCCCCUCGGUACAGAGCUGCAAAAGGAAAUUCAUGGAAAAAAUGAAUACCGUCUGUCUACAUAGAGCGAAAUCUUCCCUAGCUCUUGCCAUGAUGGAAUGGUUGUAAUCUUUUCUUUCUUUUUUCUUCCUUUGUUGUUGCCUUUUCUACCUUCUACUUCUGUUGUUUCUUGGACUCGCCUUUCAUUUAAUAUAUUUCAGUAGGAGCUUGCCCCUCCUGUUCCUUCAAAAAAAAACUUCGAGCACUUCUCCAUGGGCUUCAUCACCAUAGUUUCGAUUUGGGCAAUUUUAUUGCACCGAACCUUCCAGCUUGCAUUUUCUUAACUGAAUCUCGAGCAUGGGGCAAUAUUCUGGCAUCUACAACGGACCUGCCAUCAAGCAUUCCAAUGUAUAGAUCUAUCCUUUUUGUUUGCCUAAUAUUCGGAUGCAAUACUCCGCCGUGUGUAAAAAAAUCCAAGGCCAACGGACCAUACCGUGUUAACAAUUUUAGUGCCUAAUCCAAUACAAAAUUAGUCCCAGUUUGUACGGCUACUCAUUCAUUGCAGUCUUCAGACGAACUCUACGGUGACACAUUUUUGGAAUACUCUGGCAUGUGCAACUGACCUGCCAUCAAGCACUCCGAUGCAUGGUUCUAUCCUCUUUGGUUGCCUUAUAUUCUGUAAAAAAAAAUAUUCAAGGCCAACAGACCAUACCGUGUUAAAAAUUUUAGUGCCCAAUCCAAUACAAAAUCAGUUCCAGCACCUCCACAGUGAUUAUAUUGUAAUUCAAUCACCAAAAUCCGAAACUAUGGUCUAGUGAAGCUAUACUGUGUACGAAAUAUCAAUUCAUGGGAUUUGUCAACGAUUUUAUGAAGCUGUAUAUAUGAUACCUUCCACUACGGGAUUUGUGUACAAAAUAUUAAUUCAUGAGAUUUGUCCAUGAUUUUAGGAAGCUACAAUAUCUUCAACUACCGGAUUGCGUAUAUAAGAUAAUCUUCACCAGUUAUCACAGGUGGAAGCACGCGUUAAAUAAUAAAUGACUAAUGCUGAUUCAACUCUGAGAUGAAAAGGAUUCUGUUCUCAAGAAUCGAAAAAAAGGUAACGUGCUCAUAACAAUGUCGACUCUUCACAUCUGAGAAGCUAGCUCCGUGAUGCUUAUCUGGCUAGUGAACUACCUACCGUAUGUUAUUAAAACAUUUUUGCUGCCUAUAAAUUGGGCAUCAUUUCAGCAGGCCACCACGGCACCUGAGCUUGCCAUCUUUUCCUGCUCUAUCUCACUCAUUUGUCCCGUAGCUACUAGCUAAGCCACCAUAUCAUCCAUGGCUUCUGGUGCCUCCACCACGCUGAAGAUGGCCUCUAUCGCCGCUUGCAUCCUGCUGGUCCUGCUGUCCAAUGGCCACCCUACCGCGGCGGCCGUUGAUUGUAUUGCGGCUUGCAAAGAACCGUGCCAGGGUUUUUCUAACGGGCUCUGCGCGGGUGGAGCCACCAGCGGUUGUACGACUACGGCAGCAGCUACAGCAUGCCGCAAUUUGGCGUUCUCGCAGUGUGCGAACACCUGCUUCACAGUUUGCACUGCUGUGAGCAUCGCGCCUUGCACUUGAAGAUGCAUUCGUGUUCCUACUUCCACAUUAUUGUUACUGCAGAAUAAUAUGGGUCAGUGCACACAAGCAUACAUGAUGAGCCACUGUCGUUUUUCCAUUUUGUCAUUUAUUUAUUGAAGGCAAUGUACGUUUUUCCAUUUGAUCAUUUACUUAUUGAAGGCAAUGUACGUGUCUAUCUCCUGUGUGGUUGAGCAUGUCAUCUUGGAAUUCUGUCCAAAGUUUUACAUACCACCUUGUAUUGUUGUGUGUGGGUAUCAAUAUAAUUUAUGAACUAUCUUCCUUUACCAUAGACAUAUCUAUGUUUAUUUGCAAGCGUUAGCUAAAUUUUUCCUUGAUUGUGUAU